rnacentral:lncRNA from 1 species
CAGAGCAGAAGGGAAAAUGAGACUAGAAAAAGGGAGAAGGGCUGGAAAGAAACAUGUGUGGGAUUCUCAUCUUACCUGGAACUCUAAUAGACACAGAAGAUAAAGGCAGAGAUGCUGUGGUCUCAAGGAGUUGCUCUCCAAAGACACGAUAGCCCAGACCUACAACAGGGCACAUCUGUGUUAAUGAAAUUGCUUUCAAGAUGACCUGAUCUGCCCACAACAUCACUGCUGGAAUAACCUUUCUCCAACUGUGCUUUCACCAUGGCACAUCGACCUUGGUUUUAGACCCUAUAAUGCCUCAUUUUUUUGUUUAUUGCAUAAAGUCCUUGGAACUUCCAAGUCCAGGGAACUUCCUUGCUUAGUUCCCAGGGCUCUGCAAAAUCUAGUUCCAAGGUAGCACUUCUCU